AGUGUGUUUUGAAGCUCCUUGGAACAGGGGCACCCGUGUUGUGCAAGAGGCUCUGGGUAAGCAGUGUAUGUUGUCAGAAGGAUGUUGGUUGCCUGCAGCUUUUUCUGCUGGAGGUAACUUCAUAUGGGCUGUUUUGGGGUGAGAAGGUGGUUUAACAUUCUGUGGUGCAUCUUUCUUUUUUGCAGGUGAUGAGGAACCUGCUGACUGUGGGACUCUUGGAGUUGAUGAACUGUGGAGCUUUCUUUAAAGGAGGAUGUCCUGAGACCUGUGGCCCCUGAAAGCUAAGUUGAGGGAUGGGUGCUGGGGGGGACAAAGUUGGGAAUUGCAGGGAGGGGUUUUAAAGUCAAGAGCUGGGGAGAGGGCUGUCUGGGAACUGUCCCUUUGGGCAGGUAAAGGCAGUGGGUUACUCUUCAGCGUGAUGUCAGCGUGUGCCAGGCAGGGCAGCUCCAGCCUGCGUGUGUCAUGGUGUAGUUUGUGUGGUCUGUUGUCUUUUGUGUCUCAAACCCUCCUUGGGUCCCAGUCUCCUCUUUGUGCUCCAGGAGCACAGCACUCGCCUUGCAGCCCAUCCUUAGGUCUUGAGCAUCAUCUGUGCUCACUCUCGUAGUGCCCGUGGGGCGCUGCUUUUCUUGCCUGAACUCAAAAGCCCAGCUGGGCCUCGCGACUCGGGUGUCUCCUCUUGAUCCUCUUUUUGCGCCGGUGUUGCGGUCGGUGUCGUCAGCCCCGCUCUGGAGGCUUCUCUUUCACAGGGAGAAUCUCUUUUUUUUCUGGGCAUUCUUCCCUGUGUCCUUGCAUUCUUGGGUCUUGCCAAGGCUUCUCGUGCAUCCGUCUGCUUCAGUUCUGACUGUAGCUUCUUGUCACGGUUUGCAAUAUUUGACCUUUCUCUGGGGCUGCCUUACGGGCUCCUUACUGCUGAAAUCACAAGUGAAUUGAGUAUAGGAAUAUUGGGACUAAUGUGUUAAUUAAAGGGAUAUCAGUUCAAAUUGCAUGCCUGUUAAAGACUUGUGCAAACUGACCACUGCUUGACCUAAGCGACUUGACUUUGGACUGGACUUGUGACUUGACUUAGCCUGAGUGUCUGGAGUGAUGAGGCCUUAGGCUGCCAUUCUAAUUAAUCUUUAGCUGAACUCCUGUGAUGAGCCUUAGUUAGACCUUGACUCUGCCAGCUGUAAUAAUAUGGAAACAAGAUGUGGGCAAGAUAAUUACUCAAGACGAUCUUCUGAACUGGGAAGAUGCAUUGACUGAAAGUUAAGUGGGAGCAAUUGGACAAAAGCAGAAUGUGGAAGACUUUUCCAGCUGAGAAACAAGUGGAAGAGAGCAAGACUGGAAGCACCCAGCUCGAGCUGCAGUAAACUGAUUCUGUGGCAGAACUGAGGGUCUGAGCUUCUCUCUCAGGUUGGAGGUGAAGACUGGAUCCAGCUGCACCUAGGCUCUGCCCUGAGAAGAAGCUGAGAAACCAAGGAGGUCCUGUCUGAAGCUCACAACUCGAAAGGAGGGACUUUCUGGACUCUUCAGCACUCAUCUCCUGCUUGCAGUCCUGUAUGUCUUGCCACCUGGUGGCAUCUGCAUUGGAGGAGGAGUUUUUUAGUUGCUGGGAGUUUCCUCUCAUGCUUGUGUCACAUCCUUUGUGUUUGUGUGUUGUGUCUCUGUGCUGUUGGGUUGGAGCUGCUCUCUCUGGAGGCUGUAGCAACUGUGGGGUUGGGAGAAGAAUAGCAAGGAGGGCCUGUGGUUCGUGUUGCUGUGCUGCCUGUGCCUGUUGGGGUGCAGAUAGAGCAUUUGAAGUGAAGUAGCAGCCCUCAGCAGGGGAAGGUGGCCAUUUUCCUAGUGUUUUUGAGAGGGGGUGGCUGGAGCCACCUGGGAGAGGCUGCUGGAGCCAUAGCCAAGCAGAUUGGGUGUCCAAGUUGUUAAGGCCUGAAUGUGUGGGGCGUAAUGUUAACUUGGUUUUUAGCUCCCUUGUAGGCAGCUAGAUCUAGAAGAUGUUCCUAAAUGGGAAUCUCUGGAAUUGCAUCUGGCUGAUAGCUUGUUACUGCUUUUUCAGAUGCAGGGGGAGGAGCCACGCAGCAGAGGGUGAUGGAGGAGAGGAGCAGAGCAUGGUGAGGAGCUGGGUCGGUGCGUAUUGAAGAGUCUGGGUGAGUUGUCCCCUGGGUUGUGAGGGAAGGUGUGAGUGGUGCCUCUAUCGACUGGCUCAUGGUUUGGGUUUGUUUUGUAGGUGCAAAGCACCGAGGGAAGCGGGAGAUCUGCACUGAAGGUGACUCGAGCAAGGUGCCACACAGGCCUGGAUGUGGCAACCUGUGACCAUCAGAGGCCGGACAGGUGAGCCACAAAGUGUUGCAGCCUCGGAGCAGUGGAGCAGCAUGCCAACGGGCCAUCUGUGGAGAUGACACAGGCAUCAGCCAGAUGCCAAAAGCAAGGAUGGCCUCAGCAUCCGAUUCUGGAAU